CGCUUCAACCUGAAGGCUAUACAAGUUAAGGAUUUGGAGCCCAAAAUCCAUAUGAUGUCCAUUCAAAACGGUCUCAAGGAAUGACCAUUUGCAGGUGAGCAGUCAAAGGCUCCACCGAAAACUUUUCGAGCUUUCCAGCAACUAGCUAUCAGCUAUAUAAAUGCAGUAAAAGGUUGUCAUUGUCAAAAGAAGGUAGCGGCACUUGUUGGCUAGGCGCUCAAUCCAUGCAGUGGAAAGAAAGAAGAAAAAAAGCAAUAGAACUCUCCUCUGCUGGGGGAAGGGCAAGACAAACUAAAGUGGAACAUACUCUCUCAUGAUUCAAACAAUAUACCCCUCUUAACACACAAAAAUGAAAAACACUUCGCCAAGUGUCUAAUGCUAAGAUGUUAGAACUCGCUCCACA
rnacentral:lncRNA from 1 species